UACGGAGGGUGCAAGCGUUAUCCGGAUUCACUGGGUUUAAAGGGUGCGUAGGCGGGUAGAUAAGUCCGUGGUGAAAUCUCUGAGCUUAACUCAGAAACUGCCAUGGAUACUAUUUGUCUUGAAUAUUGUGGAGGUAAGCGGAAUAUGUCAUGUAGCGGUGAAAUGCUUAGGUAUGACAUAGAACACCAAUUGCGAAGGCAGCUUACUACACAGUUAUUGACGCUGAGGCACGAAAGCGUGGGGGAUCAAACAGG
rnacentral:rRNA from 1 species